AUUGAACGCUGGCGGCAGGCUUAACACAUGCAAGUCGAACGAGUGGCGGACGGGUGAGUAAUGCUUGGGAAUCUGGCUUAUGGAGGGGGAUAACGACGGGAAACUGUCGCUAAUACCGCGUACCAUAGGAUGAGCCCAAGGGGGAUUAGGUAGUUGGUGGGGUAAUGGCCUACCAAGCCGACGAUCUCUAGCUGGUCUGAGAGGAUGACCAGCCACACGGGGACUGAGACAUGGCGAGGAGUCCUACGGGAUGCAGCAGGGGGGAAUAUUGCGAAAUGGGGGAAACGUGACGCAGCCAUGCGGCGUGAAGGAAGAAGGCUUUCGGGUUGUAAAGUGCUUUCGGUGACGAGGCGUUAAUCACAGAAGAAGCACCGGCUAACUACGUGCCAGCAGCCGCGGUAAUUC
rnacentral:rRNA from 1 species